AAGUCUUUGGAACCUUCUAGAAGCUUCUUAGUUGGUAGAAGUUGCUUGAGAAGCUUCCUAAAUAGGAGUAUAUAUUGGAAUCGAGGUUGAAGAGUUCUUCAGUUUCAACAACACAUCUCUUGGAGCUAUAGCCCACCUCUCUGGUGUUGUUCUUGUAUUCAUCUGAUUAAUCUAGUUCUUGCCAGUUCUUCUUGAACUUCUUGUUAGAUCUCGAGUCUAUAUUUCUGUGUUUGUGACACAUUGGUAUGCGGCGACUUGCUUUUCUUGAAUAAAGAAGUUAAUGAAUUUUUUAAA
rnacentral:lncRNA from 1 species